rnacentral:rRNA from 1 species
AGUGAACGCUGGCGGUAGGCCUAACACAUGCAAGUCGAACGGCAGCACAGUAAGAGCUUGCUCUUACGGGUGGCGAGUGGCGGACGGGUGAGGAAUACAUCGGAAUCUACUUUUUCGUGGGGGAUAACGUAGGGAAACUUACGCUCAUACAGCAUACGACCUACGGGUGAAAGCAGGGGAUCUUCGGACCUUGCGCGAUUGAAUGAGCCGAUGUCGGAUUAGCUAGUUGGCGGGGUAAAGGCCCACCAAGGCGACGAUCCGUAGCUGGUCUGAGAGGCUGAUCGGCCACACGAGAGCUGGAACACGGUCCAGACUCCUACGGGAGGCAGCAGUGGGGAAUAUUGGACAAUGGGCGCAAGCCUGAUCCAGCCAUACCGCGUGGGUGAAGAAGGCCUUCGGGUUGUAAAGCCCUUUUGUUGGGAAAGAAAAGCAGCAGGUUAAUACCCCGCUGUUCUGACGGUACCCAAAGAAUAAGCACCGGCUAACUUCGUG